GUCAGAUUGUUUUUUUUAUAUGUUGGUUAGUUUUACUGAACUUUUUAUUCUUUUUUCUUUAUUCUUUUUAUCCUUUCCUUCUGUCUUAGAAUCAAUACUAAAUAUUGGUUCUAAAGCAGAAGAGCAGUAAGUGAUAGGCAAUUAACGUUAAAUGACUUGUGCAGGGUCACACAGGUAGGAAGUGUUUGAAGUCAAAUUUGAUUCUAGGACCUCUUGUAUAUCUAGGACUGGCUGUUCUUCCAUGAGCCACUUAGCUACCCCUUCUUAGUUUUUCAUUAUAAAGAAUCUGGGAAGGAAGGCAUAGAAGAAUAGAUAUAAUGGGAAAUGAAAAUAAAAGAUAUCAAUAAAAAUAUAUUAUAAAGGUUGGCCUUUAUUUUGGGAAUAAAUUGAGGUCAUCAAAAAAUAUGUACAACUUCCUAAAGGCAACUUCCUAUUCCCUUUCUCAUUUUCAAAACAAGACCCAACUCACUGCCUGUUUGCAUGUUUGUCCAAGAUAAGUAAGUGUGUGUAUUUAUAUGUGUACAUAUGACUGUAUGAACAAGCUCCACAGGUUGUCCAUCUAACCAAAUACCAUAAUCAGAACAAUAAGUAUUUCUUUAUCUACUUUUUCCUCCUGUUGUUGAUAAUUACGUUCUUUUGGAUGUUUAUAGAUCUCAUCAAGGAAGCUCUGCAAUGUUCCCUGGGCAGAAUCAGGGCAAAAAAAUAUAAGAGCAAUUUCCAGUUCCUGGGUCCCCGGAUCCCUGAAGAGAUCUGAUGGGCUGCUCUUGGGGGGCAUCUGCAUGUAGCCCGUGCUUCAAGAGAAUUCAGGAAAUGGCACACCAUUCCAA
rnacentral:lncRNA from 1 species